UGGGUAGAGUGUUCAAUGUCCAUUUAAUUAAAUCACCAAAUAUUACGGCCCCAGCCUGUGAGGUUAUUGAGACCCCAGUGAAUAGCAGCAACCUAUUGGCUGCAGGAAAAUGGUACAACUCAGGAGUUUAAUCUGUUCUAUUCCCACAAUGUGUGCUUAUAACAAGGAGAGGAAGGAAAGCAAGAGAUGUUCUACCGUAUCUUGAUGAAUAUUACCUAGGAAUUACUCCUUCAUUUUCGAUCAACAGUGUCCCUAAAACUUCAUUGAAAGCAUAGACAUUUUAGUCAAUGAGCCACCAGAAGGGCAACCUCACCAGACCCUUGGACCUGACUCAUUCAGCCUUUGAGUCUUUAUCAGUCCCAUGUCCUCACUUGGUGAUCUUCACUGGUGAAACUGGGUCGUAAUAUGCUUGAGAAAAUGAGUGUGUCCCUUCAUCAGGGAGAUCACCAAGAGGGGCACAGGGCCUGGUGUGGCCUUGGAAAGUCAGGUUGUUGUGUAAGUGGAACCUAUGGGAGCAGCCUUUUGAAAAGGAAAAGUUGCAACAAUGUUGUAACACGAGUGCAAUAUGUGAGACUUUUGCAUAAUGAACACUUCAGUGCCUUACAAAACAACACAAAACAAAAAAAGGGAGUUGUGCUUUAGUUGAAAGAACUUGGGUGUUGGAUUUAGUAGACCUGAGUUCAUCUCCCACUCCCCUGUUACUUAGCCCUCUGGGUGACCUGGGGCAAGACACUGCAUCUCCCUGUGCCUGAAUUUCCACACCUGUCAAGGGGCAAUAAUGGUGCUGUUUUUGUAUUGUGUGUGGAUUUAAUUACAAUUGUAGGAUGUCAGGCACAAAGCUCAGCACAAAAUAACAGCUCAAUAAAUAGUGUGUCUCUGUGGCUGGUGGCCCAUUUAGCUGUCUCAUUUAUUCUACUUAAUAUUUUUGGCUGGGCGCCAUGGCUCACGCCUGUAAUCCCGGUAUUUUGAGGUGCUGAGGCAGGUGGAUUACCUGAGGUCAAGAGUUCGAGACCAGCCUGGCCAACACGGUGAAACUCCAUCUCUACUAAAAAAAAAAUACAAAAAUUAACCAGGUGUGGUGGCGGUUGUCUAUAAUCCCAGCUUGGGAGGCUCACGCAGAAGAACCACUUGAACCCGAAAAGUGAAGUUUGCAGUGAGCCGAGAUUGCACCACUGCACCCCAGCCUGGGUGACAGAGGCAGACUUCAUCGCUAAAAAACAAACAAACAAACAAACAAACAAAUGUAGAAUUUUCCUGUCCCUCCCUAGAAACUUUCAGUGCUGAAAGGACCCUCGGAGGUCAUCAAGUCCCACUGUCUUUGUUAGAUGAAGAAAUUCAGUCCAAGGAGGUUACGUGACUUGCUCGAGGCCACUCAGCUUUCUGACCCUGCUCCUCGAACCCUCCAUCAGACCUUUUGGAUGUGUCUGCUCUGCGGGCACAUCCUUCUAGGCUGAGCAGUGCUGACUCUAAUUUCAGACUCGUUUCGUAGUCUGUUGACAAUUACGUUGUCCAUCAUGCCAUUUAGAGCUCUGACUUUAUAGCUUUGGGAAGCACCUUAAAAUAUAAUUGCAAACACUCUGCCCAUCCAAAUGUGUACUUCCCAUGCCUAAUAAUGAGGCUUUUAAGUGGUGGCACAGGAGAGCGGCAAGAUGAUAGCUCAUGCGAAAUGAGAAAUUGGAGCAAAUGGGAUUUGGUAAUGGACUUUGCAGUGACACGAGUUGUCUGAUAGCUGGUCUGUGGUUAUCUUGGUACAUUUUGUAUUUUGAAAGGCACAAAAUGUCAGGUCAUUGCUCAAAUACUGGUUAAGAUUUUGAUUAUUUUGCAGAAUUGUAGCAUAGUACCUCAGGAUUGACAUUUUGCCCUCAAAAUUUUAUGUUCAAUGUUCCUGUCCUUUGUUUAGAAGUUGCACUUUCUAUUGUUUGUAAGUCUAUCAAAAAAAAAAUAGAAAGUUUUUCUUUCCUGUUGCCUAAAUGAUUUGAUUGUUUAGUUCUUGGAGUAGAAACACCAGCUGCCCUUAGCCUGGGUGCAAGCCAGCAGAGAAGGGGAAAGGAAUGCAAGAGUGAGUAAGAUGUGGCCCUUAUCCUCAAGGAAUUCAGAGUCCCAUGGGGGAGAUAGGCCUGGUUUCUAUAAACAAUGAUGCAAGACAGAACAUGAUGUGCCAGGAGGGACAGAGUGCCAAGGUGGGGACAAAGGAAUGACGAGUCCCGAAAUAGACCUGUGGGAAAGGUGUUGUGAUGCUGGGAGGCUGGACUGGAUCUUAAAGAAGGUGGGGAUUAUAACAUAUAGGGAAAGGGUGGCAGGCGGGGAGAUGGGGGCAGAGAGAGAGUAUAAGAAGGCAGGGAUUCCAGGCAAAGAGAAAAAGUUGAGCAGAGGGUGGAGGCUGGUAGGCGAGGAGAGGUAAAUGGGGUCCCUUCAUGAAAGGACUUGGAAGCCACGCUAUGGUGUUGUGUCCCUAGGUCAGUGGGGGGCUGUGGAUGGGUCUUAAGCAAGUUAAGUAACAGGAUUACAUUUAUGUUGUAGAAAGACAGGGAAUGGAUUGGCAUGGUAGAAACCUCUGAUUUUACUUCUGAUUCAACAACCAGCUGGGUUUCUUGGGUUUGCCCCUCAACUCCCCUCCUUGGGGACGAGUUCAUAUGUGACCCCCAUCUCCCUCUGUCUGAUAGCUGUCCUUGGGCAACACACCCACCAGGAGCUCGCGGAAACAGGACCAUUCUCUUGCAGGGCCAGAGCCCGUGGCAGCCUGUUCCCAAAGCCCAGAGGAAGGCAGACAGCUAUAAUCAUUUGGCAAACUAAGGUUACCACUGCUUCUAAGACAUAACAUGCUUGAAUUUAACAAACGUGUGCAAAUGAUAAUCUUGAAAUUUCAACUAAGGAUUCUAGGCUGGAUCAAUAUUGUCACAGAAUCACAGUUUUUGGAAGGUAGUUAGAUCUUCUAUACAUUGACAAUUAAUUUUCUUUCUCAACAGAACUGCAAACCAAUUCCCAAUUAAUGAAUUUGCUGAGUAGUUCCUCCCCAAGGAGAGUCAGUCUGGCAGAGACAUUCAGCUCUAGCUGAGGCCAGGCUAGAUCUGUUGGACCAGAGUCGACCUGCAGACCUGUGAACAUGAGCAUAAGUGUUCGCUGAGAGCCAAGGAGUUUUGGUGUGGUUUGUUACAAAGCUUUGUCCAGGCAGCAGCUGACUGAUUCCUGCCCUGGCAGAAAACUGGAGCACCCAUCUCUUUAUGUAGAAGCCAGUGUCCACAUCCUGCUCACAUUUGGGACAUCUGUGAGGCAGGGUGCCUCCUUUUUGUCCCUCCAAGAGGACAGUUGGGGGACUUGGCCUCUGGCCGCCUCAAGUUGGGUCAGCACCUGCUGGGCCUCAUCCUGGUUCAUCGUGCAUCAAUGGGAGCGCACCUGGGUUCUGCUGACAUGUGAGAGCUUCUUCACCGAGGGGUUCAGAAAAGUGUGCUCAUGGCCUGUAGAUCUGGAUUCAAAGGGAGAUGAGAAAAAUAGGAACUGAGCCCGUGGCUUGCCUCACCCACUUCCUGAGCCUGCGCAAGGGACAAGACUUUCCUGUGUGGCCUUCUUACGGCAGUCCACAGGGAAGUGGCCUCAUUUUCUGUGUCUGUCCUGCCCAGCGCCCCCACUCUCCUGUGCUGGUCCCAGGCCAUCCCUUAGCCAGAGUGCAGAACUCCAGACCCCCAAUAUUCUCUCAUAUCCUCAGAAUCUUCAGCUUCCAUCCAUGGAUGUUGGCUGAAUCCUGAGUGGGGUCGUAGAAAGAUCUGGUCCUGUGAGUAGGGGGGCGAGGAGGAAGGCAGGGACUUCAGCUGGGCUGUCUACAACCUGAGUCUAAAACACCUAAAGACAAGCACAACUUGCCCCCGCUAGGACGAAUUUCUUGCUCCAGACCGCCUCACUGCAUCUCUAGGGCCAUGUGUAUUCCUGCUAUUUGGCCACAUUCCUUGAGAAAAAUUGCCUAUUAAAAGAAUUUCCUUAUUCACCA
rnacentral:lncRNA from 1 species